GAAAAAAUGGAGAAAGGGAAAGAGGGAGAAGAAAAGGAAAGAAAGAAAGAGGAGAGAAGAAGAAGAAGAAGAAAUGAGAGGCCGGUUUGGAGAUGGGAAAUGAUGGCUAAACUCUUAUUGAGGAGAAAUGCUCAAUGAACCUUGGUAAAGAAAUAUGAUUUCUUGGAGGGAGUGUGAGAUGUCACAUUUGAUAUUUGAAUGUGAGAAGGUGACGAGAAGAUUAAAGUCUUGACCAAUCUACAACUGGCACAAGUCAUGCUCUAAAUUCUCAAGUACAAGUUACGACACAUUUUUCCAACAGAAAAUAUUCGAACUUGAAAAAUGUUAUUUCUACAAGUAUCCAAAAGUUGCUGAGAAGUACAAGUCGCACAAUCGAAGAGUUUUUCGAUGAUUUACAAAUUAGGUUGUCAAAAUCAACUAAAGUUUAACAGUAUGUGGAUCAAUUGUAAGUUAACUUUUCUAGCGAAAUUUUU